UACGUAGGGUGCAAGCGUUAAUCGGAAUUACUGGGCGUAAAGCGUGCGCAGGCGGUUUUGUAAGACUGUCGUGAAAUCCCCGGGCUUAACCUGGGAAUGGCGAUGGUGACUGCAAGGCUAGAGUUUGGCAGAGGGGGGUAGAAUUCCACGUGUAGCAGUGAAAUGCGUAGAGAUGUGGAGGAACACCGAUGGCGAAGGCAGCCCCCUGGGUCAAGACUGAUGCUCAUGCACGAAAGCGUGGGGAGCAAACAGG
rnacentral:rRNA from 1 species